AAUGGUAGGAGAGCGUUCUAAGGGCGUUGAAGCAUGAUCGCAAGGACAUGUGGAGCGCUUAGAAGUGAGAAUGCCGGUGUGAGUAGCGAAAGACGGGUGAGAAUCCCGUCCACCGAUUGACUAAGGUUUCCAGAGGAAGGCUCGUCCGCUCUGGGUUAGUCGGGUCCUAAGCUGAGGCCGACAGGCGUAGGCGAUGGAUAACAGGUUGAUAUUCCUGUACCACCUAGCAUCGUUUUAAUCGAUGGGGGGACGCAGUAGGAUAGGCGAAGCGUACGAUUGGAUUGUACGUC
rnacentral:rRNA from 1 species